rnacentral:rRNA from 1 species
GGGGAAUAUUGGACAAUGGGCGAAAGCCUGAUCCAGCAAUACCGCGUGUGUGAAGAAGGCCUGAGGGUUGUAAAGCACUUUCAAUAGGGAGGAAAACCUGUCGGUCAAUACCCGGCAGCUUGACAUUACCUAUACAAGAAGCACCGGCUAACUCCGUGCCAGCAGCCGCGGUAAUACGGAGGGUGCAAGCGUUAAUCGGAAUUACUGGGCGUAAAGCGUGCGUAGGCGGUUAUUUAAGUCAGAUGUGAAAGCCCCGGGCUUAACCUGGGAACUGCAUUUGAUACUGGGUAACUAGAGUUUAGUAGAGGAGAGUGGAAUUUCAGGUGUAGCGGUGAAAUGCGUAGAGAUCUGAAGGAACACCAGUGGCGAAGGCGACUCUCUGGACUAAAACUGACGCUGAGGUACGAAAGCGUGGGUAGCAAAC